CCCGUAAUCCGGGUUGCGGACAGUGUCUGGUGGGUAGUUUGACUGGGGCGGUCUCCUCCUAAAGAGUAACGGAGGAGCACGAAGGUUGGCUAAUCCUGGUCGGACAUCAGGAGGUUAGUGCAAUGGCAUAAGCCAGCUUGACUGCGAGCGUGACGGCGCGAGCAGGUGCGAAAGCAGGUCAUAGUGAUCCGGUGGUUCUGAAUGGAAGGGCCAUCGCUCAACGGAUAAAAGGUACUCCGGGGAUAACAGGCUGAUACCGCCCAAGAGUUCAUAUCGACGGCGGUGUUUGGCACCUCGAUGUCGGCUCAUCACAUCCUGGGGCUGAAGUAGGUCCCAAGGGUAUGGCUGUUCGCCAUUUAAAGUGGUACGCGAGCUGGGUUUAGAACGUCGUGAGACAGUUCGGUCCCUAUCUGCCGUGGGCGCUGGAGAACUGAGGGGGGCUGCUCCUAGUACGAGAGGACCGGAGUGGACGCAUCACUGGUGUUCGGGUUGUCAUGCCAAUGGCACUGCCCGGUAGCUAAAUGCGGAAGAGAUAAGUGCUGAAAGCAUCUAAGCACGAAACUUGCCCCGAGAUGAGUUCUCCCUGAGACUUUAGGUCUCCUGAAGGAACGUUGAAGACGACGACGUUGAUAGGCCGGGUGUGUAAGCGCAGCGAUGCGUUGAGCUAACCGGUACUAAUGAACCGUGAGGCUUAACCUUACAACGCCGAAG
rnacentral:rRNA from 1 species